CCUAAUAAUUCCUAUAAUAUAUUUAAACCUCAAUAACUAAUGAAUAAACUAUUGAUCUUAACUCUAAUUUUAUAUACUUCUUAAAAAAAAACUUAAAAACAAACACAAAAAAAUUGAAAAGGAUCGGAGUUACCAAAUUCACGAUACCCUCAAAAAUGAGCUCAUGUAUUGGCUAGCCUCCUUCUCCAAUCUUGAUGCUUAUUUUCGAGAGCCAAUAUCUCUCCUUUGUACUAUUAGAUUAAUCUCAAAAUUCUCACACAUAUAGAAAAACAAGUCUUAUAUCCUCUCACAUAAGUUUCACUCCAAUCC
rnacentral:lncRNA from 1 species